rnacentral:rRNA from 1 species
CGGGGGGCAGCAGUAGGGAAUCUUCCGCAAUGGGCGAAAGCCUGACGGAGCAACGCCGCGUGAGUGAAGAAGGAUUUCGGUUCGUAAAGCUCUGUUGUUAGGGAAGAAUGAUUGUGUAGUAACUAUACACAGUAGAGACGGUACCUAACCAGAAAGCCACGGCUAACUACGUGCCAGCAGCCGCGGUAAUACGUAGGUGGCAAGCGUUGUCCGGAAUUAUUGGGCGUAAAGCGCGCGCAGGUGGUUUAAUAAGUCUGAUGUGAAAGCCCACGGCUCAACCGUGGAGGGUCAUUGGAAACUGUUAAACUUGAGUGCAGGAGAGAAAAGUGGAAUUCCUAGUGUAGCGGUGAAAUGCGUAGAGAUUAGGAGGAACACCAGUGGCGAAGGCGGCUUUUUGGCCUGUAACUGACACUGAGGCGCGAAAGCGUGGGGAGCAAACAGGAUUAGAUACCCGAGU